rnacentral:rRNA from 1 species
AUUGAACGCUAGCGGGAUGCCUUACAUAUGCAAGUCGAACGGCAGCACGGACUUCGGUCUGGUGGCGAGUGGCGAACGGGUGAGUAAAGUAUCGGAACGUGCCUAGUAGCGGGGGAUAACUACUCGAAAGAGUAGCUAAUACCGCAUACGCCCUACGGGGGAAAGGGGGGGAUCGCAAGACCUCUCACUAUUAGAGCGGCCGAUAUCGGAUUAGCUAGUUGGUGAGGCAAAGGCUCACCAAGGCGACGAUCCGUGGCUGGUUUGAGAGGACGACCGGCCACACUGGGACUGAGACACGGCCCAGACUCCUACGGGAGGCAGCAGUGGGGAAUUUUGGACAAUGGGAGCAACCCUGAUUCGGCCAUUCCGCGUGUGCGAUGAAGGCCUUCGGGUUGUAAAGAACUUUUGGCAGGAAAGAAAUCGCACGGGAUAACACCCCGUGUGGAUGGCGGUACCUGCAGAAUAAGCACCGGCUAACUACGUGCCAGCCGCCGCGGUAAAAC